rnacentral:rRNA from 1 species
UGGGGGAAUUUUCCGCAAUGGGCGCAAGCCUGACGGAGCAAGACCGCGUGCGGGAGGACGGCCUAUUGGUUGUAAACCGCUUUUGAUAGGGAAGAAGUUCUGACGGUACCUAUCGAAUCAGCAUCGGCUAACUCCGUGCCAGCAGCCGCGGUAAUACGGAGGAUGCAAGCGUUAUCCGGAAUUAUUGGGCGUAAAGCGUCCGUAGGUGGUUGUUCAAGUCUGCUGUUAAAGCGUGCGGCUUAACCGCAUACCAGCAGUGGAAACUGGGCGACUAGAGUGCGGUAGGGGUCAGGGGAAUUCCCAGUGUAGCGGUGAAAUGCGUAGAUAUUGGGAAGAACACCGGUGGCGAAAGCGCCUGACUGGACCUGCACU